CGGAUCUCGAAAGCCUGUCCCAGUUCGGACUGGAGUCUGNAACCCGACUCCACGAAGUUGGAUUCGCUAGUAAUCGCGCAUCAGCCAUGGCGCGGUGAAUACGUUCCCGGGCCUUGUACACACCGCCCGUCAAGCCAUGGGAGCCGGGGGCGCCUGAAGUCCGGGACCGCGAGGACCGGCCUAGGGCGAAACUGGUAACUGGGGCUAAGUCGUAACAAGGUACC
rnacentral:rRNA from 1 species